UACGUAGGGGGCAAGCGUUGUCCGGAUUUAUUGGGCGUAAAGAGCUCGUAGGCGGUUUGGUAAGUCGGGUGUGAAAUCUCCGUGCUCAACACGGAGGGGCCACCCGAUACUGCCAUGACUUGAGUCCGGUAGAGGAGAGUGGAAUUCCCGGUGUAGCGGUGAAAUGCGCAGAUAUCGGGAGGAACACCAGUGGCGAAGGCGGCUCACUGGUCCGGUACUGACGCUGAGGUGCGAAAGCGUGGGGAGCAAACAGG
rnacentral:rRNA from 1 species